rnacentral:tRNA from 1 species
GCGCCGGUGGUGUAAUGGCGUAGAGCAUUCUUGCUCGGUCAGCAGGAGGUGCGGGUUCGAGUCCCGCCUGGCGUU